UUUGUUUUUGUUUGGUUGGUUUUUGUUUUGUUAAGUGCGCAAAAAAAUGCCUACAACUAAUGCUAAGCAGUUGGAUUUGCUGGUAGCUUUUAUGGAAACCAAUCCAAACAUAGCAAAAAAUUACUUGCCGACGAGCCAAGCCAAAGCCAAAUCCAAAAUUCUUUGGAAGGCUUUGACUGAUAAGCUAAAUGCAUGCGGUUCUCCAGAGAAACCAAUGGAUGGUUGGAAAAGUGUAUGGAAAGAUUUUAGGUACAAUCUUAAGCGCAAAAUGAGUGGAAAUUUGCUCCAUCGAAGUGGCACAGGGGGUGGCCCCAUUUUAUAGAAUUUUUGCAAAUUACAUUUAUUUUUGAAACUUCUUCGACUUUAUUUAUAUUUUGACAUUUGUUAACAGGAGUGAAGUUAGUUGCUCCUUUAAAUAAUUAUCAUUUUUCGUUUUUGCCGGGCAACUUUUUUUGCUUUCUAUUUUCGUAUCUUAUAAUUGCUCUUCACCAUAACUUUCGUUUCUCCGAGUUUCAUUUUUUCUGCCGUUCGUUUCGUAAUUCAUAAUAAGGGCCCCAGUACUUUUGCUACAGUGACCGAUAAAGUUGGUUGUGCCAUACUAACAAGGAAAUCCUGUCCAGUUCCUCUUUGAUAUCCACCCUCUGCCCGAAACCGAAGUGUUGCAGUUAAUUUCAAUACAUUCGGUAUUGAGUAGAGUUAAAACUUGGAA